UUCACGGAGAGUUUGAUCCUGGCUCAGGACGAACGCUGGCGGCGUGCUUAACACAUGCAAGUCGAACGAUGAAGCCCUUCGGGGUGGAUUAGUGGC
rnacentral:ncRNA from 1 species